rnacentral:rRNA from 1 species
AGCGAACGCUGGCGGCAGGCCUAACACAUGCAAGUCGAGCGCCCAGCAAUGGGAGCGGCAGACGGGAUAGUAACACGUGGGAACGUACCCUUCAGUUCGGAACAACCCAGGGAAACUUGGGCUAAUACCGAAUACGUCCGUAAGGAGAAAGAUUUAUCGCUGAAGGAUCGGCCCGCGUCUGAUUAGCUAGUUGGUGAGGUAACGGCUCACCAAGGCGACGAUCAGUAGCNGGUCUGAGAGGAUGAUCAGCAUCACUGGGACUGAGACACGGCCCAGACUCCUACGGGAGGCAGCAGUGGGGAAUAUUGGACAAUGGGCGCAAGCCUGAUCCAGCCAUGCCGCGUGGAUGAUGAAGGCCCUAGGGUUGUAAAGUCCUUUCGGC